rnacentral:rRNA from 1 species
CAUAGCUUUAUGAAAAUAUAAAGUUAUUUCUGCUCAAUGAUUUAAAUAGCCGCAGUACCUUGACUGUGCAAAGGUAGCGUAAUAAUUAGACCUUUAAUUGGGGUCCUGUAUCAAAGAAAAACGGGAGAACUGUCUCUUUUAUAUAAUUUAAAUUUAUUUAUUAGGUGCAAAUACCUAAAAGAAUUGAAAGACGAGAAGACCCUAAGAGUUUUUUAGAAUUUUGUUGGGGCGACAUAUUAACAUAAAACUUAAUAAAAAAGAGUAUAAGACAGGAAUAAAUAAACUACCUUAGGGAUAACAGCAUAAAUUAAGAUUGUGACCUCGAUGUUGGACUAGGGAAUAUAAAUUAGAAAUAUAUAAAGUUCUGUUCGAACCCUACGUGA